rnacentral:rRNA from 1 species
AUACGAAGGGGGCUAGCGUUGCUCGGAAUUACUGGGCGUAAAGCGCACGUAGGCGGAUAUUUAAGUCAGGGGUGAAAUCCCAGAGCUCAACUCUGGAACUGCCUUUGAUACUGGGUAUCUCGAGUAUGGAAGAGGUGAGUGGAAUUCCGAGUGUAGAGGUGAAAUUCGUAGAUAUUCGGAGGAACACCAGUGGCGAAGGCGGCUCACUGGUCCAUUACUGACGCUGAGGUGCGAAAGCGUGGGGAGCAAACA